rnacentral:rRNA from 1 species
UACGAAGGGUGCAAGCGUUACUCGGAAUUACUGGGCGUAAAGCGUGCGUAGGUGGUGAGUUAAGUCUGUCGUGAAAGCCCCGGGCUCAACCUGGGAAUGGCGAUGGAUACUGGCUCGCUAGAGUGCGGUAGAGGAGAGUGGAAUUCCCGGUGUAGCAGUGAAAUGCGUAGAGAUCGGGAGGAACAUCAGUUGCGAAGGCGGUGCUCUGGGCCGGAACUGACGCUGAAGAGCGAAAGCGUGGGGAGCAAACAGG